rnacentral:ribozyme from 1 species
UGUUCCAUGUAUUGUAUUUUUUUUUUUUUUUUUUUGUGUUUUUUUUUUUUUUUUUCAAUGCGGAUGAU